UACAUGUGGGGCAAGCGUUGUUCGGAAUUACUGGGCAUAAAGGGUGCGUAGGCGGCUUGUUAAGUCAGGGGUGAAAUCCCACGGCCCAACCGUGGAACUGCCUUUGAUACUGGCGAGCUUGAGUGCGUGAGGGGUAACCGGAACGAGUAGUGUAGCGGUGAAAUGCGUAGAUAUUACUCGGAAGGCCAAAGGCGAAGGCAGGUUACUGGUACGCAACUGACGCUGAUGCACGAAAGCGUGGGGAGCAAACAGG
rnacentral:rRNA from 2 species